GUUUGAUCAUGGCUCAGGACGAACGCUGGCGGCGUGCUUAACACAUGCAAGUCAUGGGAGAAAGGGGUAGCAAUAUCCCGAGUAAACCGGCGCAAGGGUGAGUAACGCGUAGGCAAUCUACCGUAAGGAUGGGAACAACCCCGAGAAAUCGAGGCUAAUACCCAAUAUUGUCCCGAAUCGACAUCGGUUUGGGAUGAAAGGCCGCAAGGCGCCUUAUGAUGAGCCUGCGUCCCAUUAGGUAGUUGGCGGGGUAACGGCCCACCAAGCCCGCGAUGGGUAGCUGGUCUGAGAGGACGAUCAGCCACACUGGAACUGAGACACGGUCCAGACUCCUACGGGAGGCAGCAGUGAGGAAUAUUGCGCAAUGCCCGAAAGGGUGACGCAGCGACGCCGCGUGAAGGAUGAAGGCCCUCUGGGUCGUAAACUUCUUUGGUAGGGGAAUAACAGGUCGCUACAGGCGGCCGUGAAUGUACCCUAAGAACAAGCACCGGCUAACUACGUGCCAGCAGCCGCGGUAAUACGUAGGAUGCGAGCGUUGUCCGGAUUUACUGGGUGUAAAGGGAGCGCAGGCGGAUCGGUAAGUCAGUGGUGAAAUCCUCAGGCUCAACCUGGGAACUGCCACUGAAACUGCUGAUCUUGAGUGUGGAAGAGGUCGAUGGAAUUCCUGGUGUAGCAGUGAAAUGCGUAGAUAUCAGGAAGAACACCGAUGGCGAAGGCAGUCGACUGGUCCACAACUGACGCUCAUGCUCGAAAGCGUGGGGAUCAAACAGGAUUAGAUACCCUGGUAGUCCACGCCCUAAACGAUGGAUGCUCGAUGUCGGCUCGCAAGGGUCGGUGUCUAAGCUAACGCAUUAAGCAUCCCACCUGGGAAGUACGAUCG
rnacentral:rRNA from 1 species